GCCUUAUUAUUGUUACAAGUAUAUGCUAUGCUUUUUGUUAUUUAUAAUUACUGAUCACUACAUAAAAAUUUUGAAAACAAAUGAUCAAUGGACCUAUAUAUGGAGAAACGUAUGGGAUUAUGUUUAGAUCUUCAAGGACCAUCCAAUUUAAUGGUUUCGUUGUCUGAGCUAAUGUCCUUUUGAAUUUGAUUGAUCUGAAUGCACAAUUCAGUUGGGAUUGCAAUGAAUUUGUGUUCUUUGUUUCCAUGUUCAAAUCAGAUGUAUUAUAGAUUUAGAGUGAUAGGACCUGCAUUUUGGUAUUCAAAAUCUAAACUGAUGCUUUAUGAGGUUUAGCUUGGGUAUUAGUUUGUUUAUUAUGUUGGGGAUGUUAUAGUUUAGGGAUUCAGUAUGUAAUAGUAUGGAAUAAACUGAGCAAUGGGAUAAACUGAUAUAAACUCUGCUUGAGCCCAUAAUAUUAUCAGCCUCUUGCUUUUGGAGUUUUGAUAAUAACUUUCUUCUGUAUCAACUAAUAAGAUGGUAAAGACCAACAAAAUAAGUCCAUCUAUGCUUUCUGUUUCUUUAAUUGUGUUUAUUCGUAUGUAAUGUUUUAUUUAGGUACCAGCAAUUCUUUAGCUUUCAUGGCAAAGUUGAUCUCUUUUUCUUUUGUGUACAAGAUUGCUUUCAUAUUGUACUUGGUCUGACUAUUCUUUCAUUUAGCCACUUUUGUUAUUCUUUUCAUGUUUUUGUUUUCGAGUAUGCAGCUCUGAAGCUCAAAAGAUCAAUUCAUUGGUAUUUAGAUUAUAUAGAAUGAGAUCUUGAAGCCAAUUACAUGGAUACAGAAUGCUAAAAACAACAGCCAAAACUUGAUGGAUCAAUCUGCUAUUGGGUUGUCUCCUUGGAAAAGGGCAUUAUGCGCUUCUUAGACAAGCAGAGCUAAAAACAUUGGUGGAUCUGCGUGUGAAUGAGGUUUGCUUCUUACUAAAUGCAUAGAGCAAACAAGUUGAAGGAAAUCUGUCUUUUGUGACAGACAUCUGUUAUGCUAAGCAAAGCCAGGGAAAUGUGGAGAUUUGUUGCAUCAUGAAAGUACGACUAUUGGUGAUGCUUUGGAUUUGAUGCAGAAAACUUUUGCUCUGUGCCUUUUCUUAUCUGUAUAUUGCUUGAUUAUCUGGAUUCGUGCUUAUUUGUGGUUACAUGUUGAUUUUGCAAGUGAGGUUUACUCUUGAGGAAAGGAGAGGAGACAAUAUGUGGGUUCCGCCGAUACACAGCAAAAGAGAGGAGGGACAAGGGGAUGGGAAGAGCAUGAAUCUGGUAUUUGAUUGUUAACGCAUCAGGUGAAAGUCAUUCAGUUUGUAAUUGUCUCUUUGACUGGAUGGGAUGUGCUUAUCUUUAGUGGAUACAAGUUUUUCACCGGAGACAAAGGCAAGAUGGAAGAGGGAAAGAUCUAAGGCAUCCAUCACCAGGUGGCAGGAUGGAGUUCGAUUCUAUUAAGCAUCAUGUACAUUUCUCCCCCUGGAUUGCAUCAACAGGUAAUGGAGCACCUAGAGGAAACAAGCACUCUCAGCUUUACAAUGUCAAGAAGGAAACAACUAUGAAGAUGAAACAACACUAUCAGAUCAGACCAGCACAAAUACAUUGGUUCAAUCUGACACAAAAGACCUUACCUAGCCACUUCUGCUUUGCAAUCUUAUGCUUUUUGUCAAGCUGUGUAACUUUUUUCGAUAAGGAUCAUUCUCUAUGUUUUUUGUAAUGCUAACGGUCCUUGAAAAACAAUUGACCAAAACAGCAGACAUUUUGUAUAUCUACUGAUCAAUAUACGUAAAAGCUUUUUUAC